rnacentral:rRNA from 1 species
AAAUUGAAGAGUUUGAUCAUGGCUCAGAUUGAACGCUGGCGGCAGGCCUAACACAUGCAAGUCGAACGGUAACAGGAAGCAGCUUGGCUGCUUUGCUGACGAGUGGCGGACGGGUGAGUAAUGUCUGGGAAACUGCCUGAUGGAGGGGGAUAACUACUGGAAACGGUGGCUAAUACCGCAUAACG